GCUGGGCAUUGUAGCACAUGCCUGUAAUCCUAGCGGCUCGGGAGGCUGAGGCAGGAGGAUUGUGAGUUUGAAGCCAGCCUCAGCAACUUAGUGAGACCCUAAACAAAUUAUCAAGAUCCUGUCUCAA
rnacentral:sRNA from 1 species